rnacentral:rRNA from 1 species
UACGGAGGGGGCUAGCGUUGUUCGGAAUUACUGGGCGUAAAGCGCACGUAGGCGGAUCGUUAAGUCGGGGGUGAAAUCCCGGGGCUCAACCCCGGAACUGCCUUCGAUACUGGCGGUCUUGAGGAUGGGAGAGGUGAGUGGAAUUCCGAGUGUAGAGGUGAAAUUCGUAGAUAUUCGGAGGAACACCAGUGGCGAAGGCGGCUCACUGGCCCAUUUCUGACGCUGAGGUGCGAAAGCGUGGGGAGCAAACAGG